CUUUAUGAGAGUUUGAUCCUGGCUCAGAACGAACGCUGGCGGCGCGCCUAAUACAUGCAAGUCGAGCGAGAAGACGUAGCAAUACGUUUGUAAAGCGGCGAACGGGUGAGGAAUACAUGGGUAACCUACCCUCGAGUGGGGAAUAA
rnacentral:rRNA from 1 species